UGUAAAACUGCGUGUGGUGUGAACUGUGUUUUAUUGUGAUGACUCUGCGUAGUAUUUUGAUUUUAUUAGUCUCUUAUACGGCCUUGUUAUUAGUGUAUAAUUCAUUUUUAUAGGGGUAGAUAGUUUACGACCUCCUGUGGUGGCCCGUCAAGGUGAAACUCUGCAAAUCAUACCACCAUGGAAGCCGCUGUGAUAGCAUCAGAGGCGUCAGGUCAACAGCAGCGAGGAGUUGGACUCAACAUCAGUGAUGUGUGAAAGUCCUGCGCCUGUCCGUUGUCGGUGGGAAGUGUUCCUGUCGCUGGGAUUCCUGUAAGCGGCGGUGCCCGGGCGCGGCGGCCGCUCGGCGGUGUGUGUUUUCCCUCGUGCUCGAGGAGGCGGCGACGGUCCAGGGUGGGCCAUGCCGCCUCUUCCGUGGCCCGUGGUGGUUCACCGUGCGCUGCCCGGUGGACGUAGAUCCCUGCGACCGCCCGGGUCAGAGACUGAGUGUGACCGCUGUCCACGGCGGCGGCACGCGAGCAGCACGGGUCGCCGCAGUCAUGGGAAAGUUGGUAGAGGUAGAUUUGUCCUCACUGGACCACGCGAGAACGAACGUGCAUGGAUUUCUCCGGUCGGGGCAGGAAUGAAGUGGUUGCUGUGCCAGUAGUAUACCCUGUACUGAUGCUAGUUUUGCAAAUUCAAAUUCGGCUGAUUUGGUUCAUUAGAAGUGAUUCUACAAGCCCGGCACUGUUCGCCUGUUCAGGCCGUGGAGCGUCGAUGUCGUAUCCUGCGCUGAGGGCUGACGAUCGGGCGCCGGACGUGGCAAGUGCGAUUCCGCUUGAAGGAUAUCCUGUCAGAUUGAAUGUCUUGCUUGUUAGAUACUGGCCGGAUCUGAACGUGCCGAAAUACAUACAGUCCAGG